CGACCCGGCCAUAGUGGCCGGGCAACACCCGGUCUCAUAUCGAACCCGGAAGUUAAGCCGGCCACGUUGGGGUUGGCCGUGGGGUCCGCGAGGCCCCGCAGCCGCCCCAAGCUGGGAUCG
rnacentral:rRNA from 1 species